rnacentral:lncRNA from 1 species
UCCAAUCUUCCAUUUCACUUUCUGCUUUCAGAAGCCAGAGAGCCGCUACGAUUUUCCUCAGGAUCUUUUUUUCCAAAACAAAAAACUCUCGAACCUAUUUUAACUGCUGGCAAAUUCAUGCCUCUUCCAUAUCACCGUAUCCUCCUCAGUUUCUGCUGGUAGAGGUCCUCUACCGUGGUGUUGGAUCACCGGGACAGAGGAAGGUCCACAGACUACGACGAGUGAAUGUUGAUGUAAGCCUAAAACCCUUUUCGAUUGAAUACUUUUUAAUGUUAAAGGUCUGAACCUAAACUUUUCUGAUGCAAGCAAAUACAAGGAACUAGGCGCCACGGAACUAUCGCUGGAAGGCUAACUCAAUAUUGCUUUCACGGAGAAUGGAUCUCUCUUCACCGCGUUUAAGAGCAGAAACGUGGCUGAUCGGCUUCUUCCAAUAAGAGGAAGCUGGAAGCAUGCGUCUAGGAGAUAAGAAGAUCAAAAGGAUGAUGAAGUUGACGCAUUAGAGCUACACCACCAUCGACGAUCUGGAUCUGGAGAAAGUAUCCAUGGCUGUCGCUUCUAAAAUUAAUGGCGGCGGAGGAGGCACGAAAUGAAGCUAUUGGCGGUGGUGGUCGGACUGUUCUAGGUUACAAACAAAUCUACUGAUCUCUUUGUCUCAAUAUCUAACACAAUUUUGG